rnacentral:rRNA from 1 species
UAGGAGGAAAAGAAACCAACAGGGAUUGCCCUAGUAACGGCGAGUGAAGCGGCAACAGCUCAAAUUUGAAAGCUAGCCUUCGGGUUCGCAUUGUAAUUUGUAGAGGAUGAUUUGGGGAAGCCGCCUGUCUAAGUUCCUUGGAACAGGACGUCAUAGAGGGUGAGAAUCCCGUAUGUGACAGGAAAUGGCACCCUAUGUAAAUCUCCUUCGACGAGUCGAGUUGUUUGGGAAUGCAGCUCUAAAUGGGAGGUAAAUUUCUUCUAAAGCUAAAUAUUGGCGAGAGACCGAUAGCGCACAAGUAGAGUGAUCGAAAGAUGAAAAGCACUUUGGAAAGAGAGUUAAAAAGCACGUGAAAUUGUUGAAAGGGAAGCGCUUGCAAUCAGACUUGUUUAAACUGUUCGGCCGGUCUUCUGACCGGUUUACUCAGUUUGGACAGGCCAGCAUCAGUUUCGGCGGCCGGAUAAAGGCUCUGGGAAUGUGGCCUCCACUUCGGUGGAGGUGUUAUAGCCCAGGGUGUAAUACGGCCAGCCGGGACUGAGGUCCGCGCUUCGGCUAGGAUGCUGGCGUAAUGGUUGUAAGCGACCCGUCUG